GCUCAGUUGGUUAAGGGUCUGACUCUUGAUUUUGGCUCAAGUCAUCAUCUCAUGGUUUGUGAGUUCAAGCCUCACAUGGGGCU
rnacentral:tRNA from 1 species